GCCGCUUUGCGUCGUACGUCGCUGGGUGCGACCCCCGCUUCGUCCAGCCUCGGACGGUUCCUGAUCGCCUCUUCGAAUCCACGCUCGUCCGUUUGAAUCCCUAACCACCCGUCCGCUUCAAACGACCGAUAAUCUCGGCCCCCUACCGUACCACGCUCCGCCACCAGAAAUCAUAAAGCCAGCACCGGUUGUGCGACGGACGCGCCGCCGCUCUGUCCCCUACGCAGCAGCGCAAGCACGCCGGAGAAGAAGACAGCCGCCACGGCACCUUCAGCCACCGAAUUGGAGCGCUACAACAUCCGUUUUGCCGCACCCCGCCGCCGCCUGCCGUCCGCGGGAACAUCGCCGCCACGAGCAGCUCCCGAACCCGGCGCCGGCGAUAGGAUUUCGUCCGUCCCCGUCCUGGUCCGCCGUGGGUGAGCACAUCCCUGAGUUCCCUUCGCCCUGAUCUUCCUUUCCCCCACCUCCUCUCUCCUCCCCUGCAAUCCACCCUCCCAAAUCGCCGGCCUGCGCGCUCUGGCGCCGCCGCUCCUGCGCACAUCCGACUGGGACCUCUCCCCGCCGCGCCCCUGUGCACCGCGCGGCCCCCGGCGAGGAUCACCAUCAGCAUCAGGAACGCCUCAAAGGUGGCCCGCAUCACCUCUCGCACCGCCACCGGCUGCGCCCGGUCCUUCAGCACCAACACAAGGUGACCAGGAACGAUAGGUUCUGCUUCAGCAGCCGGAGCGCCGGGCAGAUGCGCGCGUCGCCCACGCCGCGGGCGUAGAGGCCCUGGUAAAGGGAGUUCCGCGAGUCAAGGAAGAUGAGCCGGAGCGCGAUGACCUCGGCCACGGCGAAGGAGGACGAGGACGAGAGCGAGGCGUCGAAGGCCUUGAUGUGGGUGAGCAUGUAGCGGAGUGUGUUGAGGUGGACGUAGAUCCGCUGCGUGCCUCGGUUGAUGGACGGCCGCGGGAUGUGGUGCGAGCCGCGCGCCGCCGCGUGGGCUGCCCUCCAGGCUCUGGCGCCUGGCACGUCGGCAGCGCCGCCUUCUUCCACAGCCGGAAGAAGCUCGAGUCCUGGUUGCACCUCUUGUCAGCGGCGGCAGCGGAGAGAGGUAGCUGUGAUUCGACCCUGUCGGACGCUAUGCAUGUGCCCCCCUUGUGCUUGAUUGAUUGUGUCACUGGUGUCGCUGUUGAUGUUGUUUGCUCCGCUGCUGUACCGUUUCAUUGUUUGUGCCCGCAAAACAUUUGAUGAAAUGCCUUAAUCUUGCCUAUGUGUUGUGUGAGGUCUGGCCAAAGGAGAAAGGUAGAAACGUACGGACAAGUGAAUGCGUGAAAUACUAAAAUGCAAUUUAGAUUGCUCA